GCCCAGCUAGCUCAGUCGGUAGAGCAUGAGACUCUUAAUCUCAGGGUCGUGGGUUUGAGCCCCACGUUCGGUG
rnacentral:tRNA from 2 species